AUACCUUUCUUGGCCGUUUGGCUAAGAUCAAGUGAAGCAUCUCUUCUUAUCAGUUUAAUAUCUGGUAUGUGGACCAUUGGUUCGCAUGAUAUUAUCUCUAUUUUUUUUGAGGGGAAAGGUCCAUCAGGAUAGCCUGCUAUCCGGGCCUUCGUGCGUUGCCUAGGUGUUAUGCAGCCCAGGCCUGGUGCACCCCAC
rfam:Solanum lycopersicum cultivar Heinz 1706 chromosome 9, whole genome shotgun sequence.